UACAGAGGGUGCGAGCGUUAAUCGGAAUCCCUGGGCUUAAAGGGUGCGUAGGCGGCCAUGUAAGUGGGGUGUGAAAUCCCUCGGCUCAACCGAGGAACUGCGCUCCAUACUGCAUGGCUUGAGGGAGACAGGGGUAAGCGGAACUGAUGGUGGAGCGGUGAAAUGCGUUGAUAUCAUCAGGAACACCGGUGGCGAAAGCGGCUUACUGGGUCUCUUCUGACGCUGAGGUACGAAAGCUAGGGGAGCGAACGGG
rnacentral:rRNA from 1 species